AAAUAACUGUUGUAUGGUCCUGUGUGGUCCAAAUCCUCCCUCACUUAUAGACGCAAGGGGAAUAGCCCUGCCCCAGGGUGAGGGUGUGAGCAGCUAUGGAACUGUAGUGGGUGAGGGUGGAGGGGGUGGAGGACUAUUUCAUGAGGUUAGAACUCCCUCCUCAGGAGUACCUAGUAUAGCACAGUUACAUAGGCAUCUCUCUAACACAACACAAGAUGUAAUAGAUAAGGCCCCUACGUUGUCUGGCUCUCCGGUAAGCACACCUCCGGGAGGAGCCUCCGAGCCUCAUGGAGUCCCACGUUUGGCCUCCGAACCUCUUUCUGGAGGACUCCCUCGAACCUCCCCGUCCAACAAUACACUCAGCUCACAAAACCUUUCACUUCAUGACAGUAAUAUCAAGGAUAUAAAGGAGACCCUGGACUUGGACCAAACAACUAUGAUAGGGUCAGCUCUAGACCUAGAUUCACUAGAUGGAGACCAGGAACAGCAAAUACAAGAACAACGACGUAAGGAGAAGGAACAGUUUUCUCAUGUCGGCUCACAGAUGAAGUUAUCUAAGCUGUCAGCUGUGUGACGUAGUGUUCAGCGCCCCAGCAAACCCUCCAGUUUGCUACGAAGGGGCGCUGGGAUUAAGGUGUUGAAGAUAGCAAAUCCAUGUGACGAAGUGUAGAAAAUCCACGGAACUGAUAAAAAGAAAUGCACACAAGGUUUCGUAAACCUGAUUUCUGUGCGCCAAUGCCAACAUACAUCUAAAGUGACAUAAAUGGCAUGAAAGAACUAGAAGACAAAGUUAUCAUAGAUUUCAACCUUGAAAAGUGAAAAGUGAAAUUUAUAACAUUUUAUAUCAUGUACGAACUGCCUGUUUUAAGAAAUAGGCUUUGAAGCAUUUAUUUAGACUGAAUAUUUCGUUAAAUCCGAAUUCCUAAGCUCUUGAUUAAAUCCUACAGAUUGUAGAGAAAAUAGAAGAAACGAAAGAGGUUGAAGAAUAUUUGUACAAAAUAAGCUCUAAACAGCCAAUACUUACAUGCACACACAGGGCCAUAAAGUUAAUGAGAACAAAUAAGCCUAAGUGCAAUCUCUAAUGAUCUUAAAUAUAUUUAAAUUUUAAUAAUAAUUGGUCUAAAUUAUUGUAAACUCUGCAAGUUAAUUAUGUACGUUUAUGCAAAAUCUUAUUUGUAUCACCAAACAUAAACACACAAACUCUAAAUCUGCACCGUUAAGCACUGAAGUUUAGUUAAAGAAAUCAUUUCUCUCUUAUUAAAUCCUGUAAAAAUUUAACAAGCAUAUUUUUGAAACAGGCCUUUGAUGGAUUUUUAUUACAGAUUAACGUUGUUAAAGGGUAAAUCGCCAUAUCUUGUUCUCUUUAAUUGUAAAACCAUUUUUACUCGCAUUAACUGUACUUUCUUUAAUUUAAAGUAGAUUUAGGAUACAAUUUGAAAUAAAGAAAGGUCAAAGUAAAAAAACAGAAACAAAUUUAAUGCAGGUGAUCAUAUUGACCGUUAUUUUAUCAUAUAGUGUACAGUGUACACUGUACACUUCACCUUGUUCAUUUUUGUCUUCAAUCUUUGUUUUACAUUUGAGGAAUUAUGCUGAUAAAUUACAUUACACACUAACCUAGCACUGUAAAUUGUAUCCUUAAAAGUGACUCAAACUUAGACAAAUGAUUGGUUAUUAAUUUUUCUUCUCUAAUAUUUAUUAAAUUGUUAGAAAUAUACUUAAUGUCUAAUCUUCUUUAUUAGUUUCUUUUUAAUAAAUAUUCUUAA
rnacentral:misc_RNA from 1 species